GUUGAAACACUGGUUCCUGUACGAUCACUGAAGUUAAGAAACGUCCAGUCUGAUCACUACAUAGAUGGGUAAUCCCUUGGGAAUACCAGGUGCUGUAAGC